GACGGGUGGAACUGAUGACGACGCAGCGGCAGAGCGCUCGCAAGUCGUUUCCCGUGUUGGCGGCGGUGGUGACGGGCGGUUCGCUUCGGCCCCACCAGAUGGAGCCGGCGUUCAUACCGAUGCCGGCGUUGGACGUUGCCACGGCGACGGCAGCCACCGCCUCGCAGCAUCUUGCUUACGUGGGGCGCACGAACGCAACAAUGGCCGUCGGCAUGUCCGUCGAACGGCGACUGACCGUGGCGCCAUCUGGAAUGGUCGCGCUGACCUCAGCGCGGCUCUCGGCGGCGACUCCGUACUAUCGCGGCGCGAUGCAGGAGUCGAGGCAACCGCGUCUCGCAGCAUCCGUCGCGAACCCUCGCUGUUCAUUACCGAUGCUCGCGCCGCGACGCACACCCUCUCACACGCUUUCUAACUCCGAAGUUGAAAUAGUGAAGAUCGACUAGUCUAGACAAUCGGUCGGUCGUUGGCGCUGCAACGCAGAGCAGUUCCCUCGUGUCUAGUUUCUCCUUUUUUCUAACCGGAAGUAGUGUCGUCCGAUCUAUGUUUUAACUUGUGCACUACUGUAGCUCCUCCUACUACUACAUGCUAUACCUCUGUCAGAUAGCGUGCGGUCUGGUUCGUUAUUAAAUGAGUGGGCUAUUGAUCGAUCGAUUACAGGUGCUCUUGUGCAGUCGACCAGCUUUAUUUUCCAAAGGUUGGGAUCCGGUCUAGUUCAUGGCGAGGUGCAGAACGAUCAGAUUAAACACGUGGUACAUUCCAUCAGUUCACAUUCAUCCUCAUUGUAUUUAUUGUAGCUAGGUGUUCGACUGCGUGCAAUUGUUUAAUGAGCUUGAACAAGCAGAACUAGGUUUGAUCCGUACAAAGCAUGAAUUCAGUUGUACAUAAUGUCACAUCAUUUGUUCGACCCACAUUGAGGCUUGUAUAUAUUUUAACUACAGAGCAGUAUCAGCAACUGCCGUAUAAAUCGGCCUACUGUGUGCGUGACAGAGUAUUUAACUCUGUUACAUGUACAAUGUAUCCUAAAGAUGGGACGGUAGCACACGUUAAACAGGACGGUCUUACAUAUAGCGUUACACUGUGCCUGUGUUUGAGCUGGUGUGGGGAGGUUACUCUGUGCCUGUGUUUGAGCUGGUGUGUGGAGGUUACUCCGUGCCUGUGUUUGAGCUGGUGUAGAGGUUACUCUGUGCCUGUGUUUGAGCUGGUGUGGGGAGGUUACUCUGUGCCUGUGUUUGAGCUGGUGUGUAGAGGUUACUCCGUGCCUGUGUUUGAGCUGGUGUAGAGGUUACUCCGUGCCUGUGUUUGAGCUGUUGUAGAGGUUACUCUGUGCCUGUGUUUGAGCUGGUGUGGAGGUUACUCCGUGCCUGUGUUUGAGCUGGUGUAGAGGUUACUCCGUGCCUGUGUUUGAGCUGGUGUAGAGGUUACUCUGUGCCUGUGUUUGAGCUGGUGUAGAGGUUACUCUGUGCCUGUGUUUGAGCUGGUGUGGAGGUUAACUUUUCUACGUUGAAUUAUGUGAAUCAAACGUUGUAAUUAUUGAAGAAUGAAAACCCAGGCUGUUUGUGUGGGUGCAGGCCUCAUGUGUGUGUAUGAUUUGCUUGUUUGUUUAAUAUAAUAUAUCCAAUUGUUGAAAUAAUUGCGUGAACCUACUAGGAA
rnacentral:lncRNA from 1 species